rnacentral:lncRNA from 1 species
UGACAAGUUAUUGGGGAGAGUAAAAUGAGCCCAAGAGACCUCAAUUCUUACUAGAAACCGAGAAUAUUUGUAGUCUGGUAGCCUGAAUACAUGGCUGCAUAUGACUGUACUAAAGUCGAGAAGUUUGACGUCAAAACAGAUCUUUGUGUAGCAUUCCAAAAAUCCAAAAUUUCUCAUUUCCGUUAAGAGAAUUCUACUAGCUCCAUAACCUAUUACGGUAAAAUUUAGGAUUCUCUUUUUCUUUUAUUAUAAAUAGGAAUGUUUCCUUCUUUUUUUUCAUCACCAAAAAAAUAG